rnacentral:lncRNA from 1 species
CAUGGAGAUAAGUCUUGGAUUGAUCCACGUACUUGAUUGCGUUCUUUUUUUAUUUCUCUUCUUUCUUCCUAUUACCAUAUUGACAUCAUCACCUGGCUUAGUGAUCUUGGAUGGAGGAUUAAUAUUCCGCACUAGUAAGGGAUUCUUCCCAACAUGUUUAAUCCAUAAUCUUGUUAUGGUUUUCUUCUUGGCAUGUCAUGAAAUUUGGUUAUGCCUUCUUAUGAUAAAGAUCUAUCAAAUCCUACCUGUCAAGGAAUUCAUUGAAACAUUCAAACCUAG